rnacentral:rRNA from 1 species
UACGAAGGGGGCUAGCGUUGCUCGGAAUGACUGGGCGUAAAGGGCACGUAGGCGGUGAAUCGGGUUGAAAGUGAAAGUCGCCAAAAAAGUGGCGGAAUGCUCUCGAAACCAAUUCACUUGAGUGAGACAGAGGAGAGUGGAAUUUCGUGUGUAGGGGUGAAAUGCGCAGAUAUCAGGAGGAACACCGGUGGCGAAGGCGGGUCUCUGGGCCGAUACUGACGCUCAUGCACGAAAGCGUGGGGGAGCAAACAGG